ACAGUAAAUAUGACCUGAAUAUCCUCUCUCGUCCGCGAUUACCCUGUCAGCUAGAUGAUAAUAUCCUGGCCAGUACAUUGAACGAAGCAUCAUCAAGAAACCGCAGCAUCAAGUGUGAGAUAAGAUGAAUGAGUUGUGUUCCUCGAAGAAGGAACCUGCAUUUAGAAGGCAAGAAAGUAUUUUGAAGCAUUUUGGAGCGUGCCAGAUUGUGCAAAAAUGUUCAGUGUGCGGUGACACUAUUGAUACAAAAGACAGCAGUAAGCAACAGGAAUUGUACAAAUGUGGUGUUUCUCAGCAGUGUAAGAAAUGCUCACUAAAGAGUUCCUCAAAAGUUGGCAAACGUGAAAAGUCAGCCAAUCUGCUUGUCCACUAUUCAAGCAAGAUGACACAGAGUUGUAGUGAAUGCCAUGAGGUGUUUUUGAAGAAGUGUGACCUCCAAGCUCACAUGGUUACUCAUGCUAACUUUAUGGGCAAAGGAAAUCAUAGAGGGAAAAAUAAGUUUAGUUGUAGUGAGUGUAGCCAGACCUUUUGCAAGAAAGCCGACCUCCACUUGCACAGAAAAACAGUGCACAGCAAGAAAAGAUUUGUCUGCCAUGUGUGUAAGAAGGCAUUUGGCUCUGAGAAACCGCUAAAAAUGCAUUCGCAGUUCCACAAUGUUGGCGGAGAAUUCAAAUGCUACUAUUGUGAGAAGCAGUUUAAUAAAGCCUGGAAACUAAAAAUUCACUUGAUCACCCAUACCGGAAAGCCACCAUUUAUUUGCCAAUACUGUGGGGAAGAUUUUCUCUACCCAGGGAAAAUUGUCAACCACCUGAAACAAGUCCAUGAUGUGUGGCAUCCAUGCAAAGAUUGCGGGGAAGGUUUCAAGUAUUUGAUUACUUUUUACAAACAUUCAUGCAAAGUAUAUUGUUGUAAAGAUUGUACAAUGUCAUUUUCAAGCUUUGAUGAACUAGCCACUCAUGCGGAAUGUCACAUAAAUGAGAAAAGCAAUAAUGAUGCUCAAACUACAGAUAUGUCCUUCAAGAUGGAUGUUAGUACAUCCAGUAAUGAAGAAAAGAAUCCAGUUGAAAGCUCAUAUUCUGAACCAGAUAAAAAGGAAGAAGAAUUCAUAGACCAUGAUAGAGAAUUAAGUGAAAAAUCAAGUCUGGACUCUCUUGAACAAACUAAUGUUGAAAAAAAGGUUUUUGUAAGAUCAUUCAAGGACCACCCAUAUGCACAUGAGAAGAAAAUUGUAAAACGGCUCCUAAACUAUGGACAGUGUAAUGAAAUAGGCAGAACUUUGAAAAAUGAAGUGGGGGGGAAGGACGAUCAGGAAGUUGAGAUUAUUGAAGUCACAAACACAAGAAAAGAUAUAAAAACGAUAUUUAGAGAAGGAAGAAGUCCAGUGUGUGAAACUUAUAUAUUACAAGGAGCAAAGGAUUAUGAUGUAACAGUGAGAGACCCCUGUAAAGCAGUUUUUAGUGAUUUCUUAAUAGAAAAUGUCUCGCACUCAUUAAAUUCUGGCAGCUCUUUCAUUGAACAGGAUUUCAAAGUACCUGAAGCAACAGUAUCAUCAUCAAGAAAAUGUAGUGACCUUUUGCCAAAAUCUUUGCAAAAGAAACAAGAAGAAUACAAUAGAUCAUUAAAAAAGAAACUGGGAAGCAAAUUCAAGUUCUGUGUUGAUGCUGAUGGAAGGCACCCAUUAAAAAGCGAGCUCUCCUUCGAGUCCUGGCUAAGUGGUGACACUCCACAUGACUUUGUUUUUGGUUUUGGGGCAAAUGCAAGAGACAGAGGCAUUUCCUGUAGUGAGGCUGCAGGCGAAUCACACUGCCAAUAUUUUAGUAAAAUGGUUCUUAAGAAAGAGAAGUCAGACAUGUCCUUUGAGGAUUUGUGCCUCUUUUGAGAGUGUCCAUUUUCUUUUCUGUUGCUGUAUGUUAUGUUCAUGUCUCUGUUCAUGUCCCUAGUUCUAAUAUUUUGAGGGCAUUAAUGUUGUUAUUUUAUACUUCCUUUUCUGUCAUUUGAAAUUAUAUUGAUAGAUUUGCUUUUAUAUGGCAUUGAUAGAUUAAAAGUUUUUGUUAUUAAAACAAGAAAAGUAUAUCAUAUGGAUGUUAAAAAAUUCAAGAACAUAUAUUUAUCACUCUGACUCUUCAUUCAUAUUUCAUUUUCUCUUGAUUACGGUGAAAGAUAUCCUAUUAAUUACUGAAGAGAGUUAACUGCACAAUGUGCACGACAGAAACUAUUUUUUUUUUCUGUGGUGAUGCCUAGAAUGAAUACAUUUUUUGUGAAGCUCCUGUCCUAUGAUACUUAAGCUUUGUACCUUUACAAUCAUGCUUACUAUGUAAGUUAUUAUCUAAAUUGUAAAGUAAUGCUGGUGCAGCUCUGAGACUGUUAUUUCUACAACCUUCUUUCUGUAUUUUCCUGCGGUAUGAACAGCAAUCUCGCAUUAUGCAAAGAGACCACGAGCCCCAACCCUUUUGUCUGAUCACGUUCCUGGAAGGGCAUUUGUGUUUUGGCACAUGACGCAUUACGCACAUACAUGGUUCUUUAGUGCAGAAUCUAUAACUGUGGAUAACUUACUUGUGAAUAAGGACAGGGAUUAGGCAAUAUAAAAGUUCUGUUGAAACAUUUACUUGUUAAAAGUAACUAAAGGAUAUUGAAGUACAAAUUUUAUGUAUUAGGUUUAAUGACCAAAGGUUUAAUCUAUGCAAUACUUUUUUUUUAUUUUCCUGAAGAUAAAAAAUAUGAUUCUUUUGGUGAAAUACCUUAUGCUGAAAGCUGUUGUUGAAUAAAAAAAAUGGUGGUUAUUUCCUUCUGUUUAGAUUUUAGUUAUCUGUACCAGUUGGUUAUUGUAUUUUUAUGCUCAUUGAGUUAGAUGCAAAUUUUUAUGCAAAAAUUACACCAGAAUCAGGGAAAGUUUACAUAACCCAUAUAUAUAUGAAAAAUUAUGGUCUAAACUGAUAGUUUGUUUAUGAUAUAAGACUCACUAUUGAAGAUCAAUUGUUUUGAAAUUAUAGGCAGUUAUUGACAUUUGCUAUGUUAAAGGAGCAAGGAAAAAGGUAAAAGUAAGUGAAAUAUCUUAUUAUUGGAUAAUUUGUGGUUAUAAAGGAAAUCGGUUUAAAAUUGCACAAAUCUUUACUCUAAAGUGUUGAAUUUCUGAUUUAAUAUAUUUGUGUGUGUACUUUAUAUAUAUUUUUUUUUUGUUUGCUGUGACUCCAAAAGACAUGUUUCAGUAAGCUUAUUAUUUUUUUUAUAAUCUAAACUCAUAAUUUGUGAGUAAAUAGGUUACUUGUUUUCUGAAGGUUCUUGCAGAAGAAAUCAGAUACUUUGAUUUCCCAGAUUAUUUUAUAUAUUGUUUUGAUUUUUUCCAAAUAUAUCUUUUCUGUAAAUCCAUAUUGUAUUUUUUUUAUUAAAAAAAAUAUUUUCACAUCUCAUGUUAUUUUUUUUUAUUGCAAUAAUUAAUAGGCUAAACUAUCACUUCUUUACUGAUCCCUAUAAAUAAGAAUUUUCAACUUAGAUUCAGUGUUCAUUUUUUUUGUAACAGUUUACUUGAAUUUCUAUAUAAUUUGCUGGUUGGGUUGAAUUGCUAAUUGGACUGUCAUUUAGUAUUUAGUCAGUCAGUGAAAUAUAUUCUUUGUAUGCUGAAAGCAUAUUAACCAUGGAUUGAAAUUAGGCUGAAAUUGUUGUUUCAGGGCUAAAGAAGUAAAUAAUCACAUGCCUGUAUGAAUAUAUAUUAAUAUAUUAAGUAGCUUGGAGAAUUCUGUAGCCAUUGCAUCAAUAAAUGUACAGUGAUAUG